GAUGAACGCUAGCGGCAGGCCUAAUACAUGCAAGUCAAGGGGAUAGCAAUAUCACCGGCGGACGGGUGCGUAACGCGUACACAACGUGCCCAAGGGCGGAGGAAAGCGGCGGGAAACUGCCGGUAAUACUCCAUGGUGUUGUUGAGUGGCAUCACUUAACAACUAAAGUACAAGCGCCCUUGGAUCGGUGUGCGUUCGAUUAGCUAGUUGGCGGGGUAACGGCCCACCAAGGCUUCGAUCGAUAGGGGGUGUGAGAGCAUGACCCCCCCACACGGGUACUGAGACAUGGACCCGACUCCUACGGGAGGCAGCAGUAAGGAAUAUUGGACAAUGGGCGGAAGCCUGAUCCAGCCAUGCCGCGUGAAGGACGAAGGCGCUCAGCGUUGUAAACUUCUUUUGGAUGGGAACAAUAACUCCGACUUGUCGGAACUUGAGGGUACCAUCAGAAUAAGCACCGGCUAACUCCGUGCCAGCAGCCGCGGUAAAGUCUGUACU
rnacentral:rRNA from 1 species